AGGAGGAACAACCACAGUGGCGGCGGCCAGCUCUGGAGCCCUGGAGUCAGUUCUUGCAGUAACUUCGGAGCUCUCUGCACGGCCUGGAGGCUCCGGGGGGCA
rnacentral:pre_miRNA from 1 species